UACGGAGGAUGCGAGCGUUAUCCGGAUUUAUUGGGUUUAAAGGGUGCGCAGGCGGAUUUUUAAGUCAGCGGUCAAAUCGUGGGGCUCAACCCCAUCCAGCCGUUGAAACUGGGGAUCUAGAGUGUGCGAGAGGUAUGCGGAAUGCGUGGUGUAGCGGUGAAAUGCGUAGAUAUUAGGAGGAACACCAGGGGCGAAGGCGGCCUGCUGGGCUUUUACUGACGCUGAGGCUCGAAAGUGUGGGGAGCAAACAGG
rnacentral:rRNA from 1 species